CGUCAAGUCAUCAUGCCCCUUAUACGCUGGGCUACACACGUGCUACAAUGGGUAGUACAGAGAGUCGCAAACCUGCGAGGGGGAGCUAAUCUCAGAAAACUAUUCUCAGUUCGGAUUGUACUCUGCAACUCGAGUACAUGAAGUUGGAAUCGCUAGUAAUCGCAAAUCAGCUAUGUUGCGGUGAAUACGUUCUCGGGUCUUGUACACACCGCCCGUCACACCACGAGAGUUGGUUGCACCUGAAGUA
rnacentral:rRNA from 1 species